CCCCUCUCAGGAUUGCCCCUGGAGAGUUUCCAAUACUCUAUCAGUUUCAGCUACGGGAGGGAGAGUCAAGCAGAGGCCUAUCCAUUCCAUUCCUAGCUUGACCAGUGGCUAGGGAGUGGAAGGCCAUCUGCUACAAGU
rnacentral:snoRNA from 1 species